UCCCCAGUGGUCCAGUGGUUAGGACUCUGUACUUCUACUGCACAAGGCAUGGGUUCGAUCCCCGGUUGGGGAA